CACUAGCCCCGAUUGAAGUAGAAAUCCUUUUUAUUUUUUCUUUAAAAAUAAAAAGAUUGCAACAGAAAGCGGGAAAUAGC
rnacentral:sRNA from 1 species